UCCUACGGGAGGCAGCAGUGGGGAAUCUUGCGCAAUGGACGAAAGUCUGACGCAGCGACGCCGCGUGGGUGAUGAAGGCCUUCGGGUUGUAAAGCCCUGCGGGGAGAGACGAAUAAGUGCGGGCUAAUACUCCGCAUGAUGACGGUAUCUCCUUAGCAAGCACCGGCUAACUCUGUGCCAGCAGCCGCGGUAAGACAGAGGGUGCAAACGUUGUUCGGAAUUACUGGGCGUAAAGCGUGUGUAGGCGGCUAUGUAAGUCGGAUGUGAAAGCCCUGGGCUCAACCCAGGAAGUGCACUCGAUACUGCGUAGCUUGAGUCUCGGAGAGGUUGGUGGAAUUCUCGGUGUAGAGGUGAAAUUCGUAGAUAUCGAGAGGAACACCGGUGGCGAAGGCGGCCAACUGGACGAAGACUGACGCUGAGACACGAAAGCGUGGGGAGCAAACAGGAUUAGAUACCCUGGUAGUCCACGCCGUAAACGAUGGGUGCUAGGUGUCACGGGCAUUGACUCCCGUGGUGCCGUAGCAAACGCAUUAAGCACCCCGCCUGGGAAGUACGGCCGCAAGGCUAAAACUCAAAGGAAUUGACGG
rnacentral:rRNA from 1 species